UGCUAAGCGGGAUGCCGCGUAUGGGAAGUUCGCAGAGUGGCUUACGGCUCGUCUAAGUAUUUAUUGAACAUAAUCCAAGUACCCAUAGAGGGUGUAAGGCCCGUUCGACGAGUCGUAAGUGUCUCCCGCGUUCUUCUCGAGAGUCGGGUUGCUUGAAAAUGCAGCCCUAAGAGGUGGUAAACUCCAUCUAAGGCUAAAUACUACCACGAGACCGAUAGCGAACAAGUACCGCGAGGGAAAGUUGAAAAGAACUUUGAAGAGAGAGUUCAAUAGAGCGUGAAACUGCCACGAGGUUAAAGCGGAUGGACAGUCGUGGCAGAACCGGUGGGAAUCAGCUCCCCGGGCGUUGGAGGCCCUCCCGACGCGACGACCGACUCCUCGGCCUUGCCCUUCCGGUACUCGUUACCGAGGCAUUGUUCGGGGAGGUUCAAACUGGCGUCCGUCGUGAGAGGUAGUUUCCUCGCUACAGGGGGGUUGUCACUUUCCCCUUAGUAAGCCGUCGCGAGCGUUGCGAGCGUUGUCGAUUACCCCUGAGUUCGGGAACCGAUCCUUAAAGCCCGUCUUCUCGAUUUAUCGGGUGCGGGCGAGUACGGGCCGGGGACGCUCCAGGGAAUAAGACGGACCUCGCGACGUUUCAAAUUUGAAGAGACGGGUCGGUUUUUUUCUGAAUAACAUCGUCGUUGGCUUUGAUGAGAUAAAAAUUGUUAGAGCCUUCGGCGGUAGAGCUUACAUUCCGACCCGUGCGCGGCGCAUAUACGGCGCACGUCCAUCCGUCCCGUCUUGAAACACGGACCAAGGAGUCUAGCAAGUACGCGAGUCAUAAGGGUUCACUAAACCUUAGAUGGCGUAACGAAAGUAAUGUUGUUGUUUUUUUAUUCUCGAUGCUUCGGUAUCUUGAACAAAUUCAGCGAUGGGUUUGCAUUGCAAACCCGAGUUGGACCGAUCCCCUCGGAAAUGCCACAAUCACCAAAGAUAAUAUUAUUAUUAUCAGACAUAUGUUUUGUGGCCGCUGCCGAAUAAUGAGGGGCGCAGGUCCAGGGCCCGCCAUUUAUAUCCUCUCUCUCCUUUCGUGGGAAGACGAUAGGCGGGUUCCAAGAGCGUACGUGCUAGUACCCGAAAGAUGGUGAUCUAUGCCUGGCCAGGACGAAGCCAGAGGAAACUCUGGUGGAGGUCCGUAGCGGUUCUGACGUGCAAAUCG
rnacentral:rRNA from 1 species